rnacentral:rRNA from 1 species
CGGGAGUUAGUAAAGCGGCGAACGGGUGAGCAACGCGUGAGAAUCUACCCUUUAGUGAGGAAUACCUCCGAGAAAUCGGGGUUAAUACUGCAUACGUCCCUUCGGGGAGAAAGAUGGCCUCUUUGCCAUCGCUGAAGGAUGAGCUUGCGUACUAUUAGCUAGUUGGUGAGGUAAAGGCUCACCAAGGCAAUGAUGGUUAACCGGCCUGAGAGGGUGUACAGUCACUCUGGAACUUAGACACGGUCCAGACUCCUACGGGAGGCAGCAGUGAGGAAUCUUGCGCAAUGGGCGAAAGCCUGACGCAGCGACGCCGCGUGGAGGAUGACGGUUUUCGGAUUGUAAACUCCUGUUAAGCGGGGAGAAAGGCCUGUUUCUAAUACAGACAGGUUAUGACGGUACCGCUAGAGAAAGCACCGGCUAACUUCGUG